GCCACUCCGCCGGAGUCGCAAGUAAGUUUCUAUACUCAAGAGACCAAGCAAACCAAUUUCAUAUUCUGCCAGCAUAUACUCAGAGACAAAUAGCUACCAUCAGGAUUCCUGAAAUUUAUGAGGACAUAUUGAAUUAUUCAGGAUUUCGGAAAUUUGUAGUCCAAGCAACUCAUAUUUUGAAGUUUUGUUGCUUACAUGUCUCCAUUGGAGAAAAGGGACCGGGCUAAUUGGAACUACAGAUGGCCACCGAUUUAAGAACUCAUCUCCACAGAGGUAAACGUUUGUGUUUGCAUUUCCUCGUAGUUUCCUUUUCAGUUUCUUGUAUCAUGUGAUUUGAGGCAGAUUUAAGAACUCAUCUCCAAGCUGUAGUUUAAGAGGGCCUACAGAUGGCCAUCUAAUUCUGUUCAGGUACAGAUGGCCAUAUCAUUUUGUUCAGGUACAGCUGGGUUGAUGAUUUGAUUUUCUUAUCAUCCAAUGUUACCUCAAAAACCAUUUUUAUUGAGGUAGUGUUUGUGAACAGAUUAAUUGCUCAAACCUUUUUGCUGUCUCUAUUCAAGUUGAUUGUUGUGUGAAAAGUUAGCUGCUUACAUGUCCAGAUUGGUACUGCAAAGAUCAUGUUGCUGGUAUCCCAUGAAUGCCAGUUGUGUGAUUGUUUCUAGCAAUUUUCGGAGCCUUAUGAUCGUUAUGCAUUUUUGCCUGCAGUGCAUACAUAAUAUUUCCUAUGUCCGCCUUUAGAAGGUUUGCUGCCAUACUAUCGAUUGACAGUGCUUUUAUGCGUUCUUCUUGACCGUUGGUGGACUCUAUAUGAAUACUACUCCAAAAAAUCAAUCCUACCGGCCAUCGCCGCACUGAUCGCUAUGGCAUUUUGGGGGCGCUUCCUGUUCGUAUAAUGAGUAAAUAACAUACAUUCCAAUGGGAGGACAAACUUUUGAUGCUGGUGAAUUCUUUACAAUCAUUCCAAUGGCAGCACAAACUGAAGGUAUUUAUGUAGGCACAGAUCAUUGCUACAUCAGAAUAAAUCAAGUAUUGAGUAAAUAAUACCCCCAGUUUUAUAAUACAGUCUACCGGUGCUUUCAUUGUGGUUUCACGGUAAUACCACCAUGCCCUCCUUCUGUUAUGAUUGACGCAAGGAGUGUCAUUACUUGAAAUUUGCAGAAUGGUAAGCACUAUAAUUUAUUGGAGAUCUUGUGCUGUUGGCUGACCCAAACAAGGUACUGUUGAAUUGAGGUGUUGUAACAGUUUUUUUAAACUCUCAUGCAUGAGUACAAGUUGAACUAUUUGUAGUAUAUCUUCAUCGUUUCUUACGAAGUGUAUGGGAGAAAGUGAUAACUGGUCACAGACAUCAUUUGGAAUAAUGUUGGACUCAGGCAUAGUGGUCCCUGAUCUAACACGGAGCAAAGGGAAACCAUUUACGGAUUUGGUUGUGUCGCAGAUAGCCCGGCAUGCUCUCAUGUAAUUCUUGAUCUACGGCGGAUUACCCUUUUCUAUAUUAAUGGAACGCCGCAUAGUUCUCUUGCGCAUUCAGAAAAAAUAGUUUUGCAACCUUUAAAUUUUGAUGAAGCCUUUGAUAAUUCUUUUUAUCUUCUAAUUUUCUUUUGACUGUGCUUAACGUAUGACUUUACCUAUUAUGAUUUUGCACCACAGUUUCCCUUCGCUGUUUAUAUAUGUUGGGACUAUUGAUUUUUUUAAGUGAUCUUCAGUUCCUCACAACAGAUUUCUUUUGGAGAUUUCACUGAUCAGUAUGUUGGAGAUCUGCAGAUGACACUUCUUUAUAUGCAAGUGCAAAAAGAUUUCAGGUUCUGUCCUCUUUUCUUUGUUGGAACUAUCAGGUCGCGUCCUCUUGCAAUGCAGGCAUUGUUAAGGACUUGAGGCUCAGAUUUCACAUUUGGGUUUUUUCUUUUGAGGAAAAAAUACUUAAUAUUGGUAUAUCCUAGACCUUUUCAUUUGAACUUCAUGAUGCCCUGAUAGAUAUAACAGUUAUUUUGUUUCAGUAAGAAGGAAAAAAUUGAAUUUGUUUGUCUGACAUUACAUAAUCUCUAAAUAUUGCGGUCGUAUCUUAUAUCUUAUCUUUUAGUUUCUCUUUGCCACUAGCACAACAUUUUUUGUAGGCUACGAAGCACUAGCAUACUACUUAUAAUCUUCCUAUCUGGUUAUGCAAAAGGUGAAUCUGUACUCAUUAAACUUUGUUAAAUAGUAGGUCCUCCUAACAGUAUGCCUAAAACUAAUUGUUUCUCUGUGUCUAUAGUAUGUUAGUCCAGCACAAUGGAUGUUCUUGACUAACUGCUAGCUUUAUUUGGUCUUAUCUGA